CAAAGCCCGCUUGUCUUCUUGGCCCAGCACAGGCCACACGUGCUCCCUGAGAGCCCCGUGCCAGGCCUCUCCCUCUCCGCAGAGAUGAGGGGGCUACUAGCCCAGCGCCCCGCGAGCCGGGGUCAGGGCAGCGGACCGUCCUGAAUCCUCCCACGUAGAUGAUGUAAGAAGAUGGGAAAGUCUGCUGAGUGCAGGGAGACGAGAAGCGGGGAGAGAGGUUUAAUAUUAACAACGACAAUAGCAGCAACCAGAGGCCUGAGAGCAGGCGUUCGGAUCCCCACUGUGUCCAGCCGAGCUGGAGGCACCGGGAGCUCCGUUUCUCACUGACUUUCGGCUGCUACGGGAGGAGGCACACAGAGAGAGAGAGAGAGAGAGAGGCAGAGACACAGGCAGAGGGAG